CCUCUCAUUCUCCAUGUAUUUUUUUUCCUAAAAAUUGUUUCCUUCUUCCUGUUGAGUGUGCAGGCAGUAGAGAAACAACGCAUGCAUGUAUGCAAAUUUGUUUCAUUGGAUAAAGAAAAUUCCUACAUGUAUAAUAUGAUCCAGAUAUACAACAUCUCCAAUCCAAUUACCUGCUUCUGUCACUACAAGAAUUAUUUUGCUUGAACAUUUAUAAAGUAUAUUUUGGUUGCUUUCAUAAUCAGGUACGCGUAUUGCCUCUAAGAAUCCCAUUUUCUAUUGAAGUCGUUGCCAAAGUAGUCUAGAUUUGUUUACAAUAAUACUUCCAUUGUAUGAGGUUACAUGUAAUCCUGCACUAGAGGCCACUUUCCUAAAUUUACCAAGAAACUCUCCACCUGUUAGCGAUUUUUUCUUAUUACCUUUUUUUUCUAAUCUCCACAUGUUAGUGUAAUUUUGGGUUAAGGGUUAAUUGAACUCAUAUAUAGACGUUUUGGAGGCUAUUUGUCUUGCCCAUCCUCACUCAUUUAUGUUGGAUUGAAAUCAAGGCUCCAUACAAAAUCAAGCAAUCAAAGUUCUUGACUAACUAAAUGGUUUGUACAUCUGGAAAUUUGAUACUACUAUGAAAAUGGUGCUUAAAAGUAAAUUGGUUUUGAGUUAUCUACAUUCCUUUCUAUGCUUUGUAGGCAAAUAUACAUAUGCUUAAAAGUAAAUUAGUUCUGUGUUGAUCUGAUGUAGGUAUUAUUAAUCAUGUUGCAAAUAAGAUAAUUAAACUAUCUAAUUUUGUGCUUCAAACUCUUUUUAGUUUCAGAUGGCCAACCGUAAAUUGUUAGAGAUGAGACGUACCUAAUUUAUUAUGGAAGCAAUGGAGACAGAGAUUUAGUAGAAAUGAUGGUGUCAGGAGGAACGGAUGGCUGCAAUUUCUAAGGUUUAUGCAUGUUUAUUGCUUUGAGGAUGGCUAAUGGCAGGGGAACCGACUGUCAGUUCAGAUUUGGUAUGUCGUGUCAUCGUCUGAAUCAACGCAUGUGGUGGCUUGUGGCGCAUAAUUAACCUGCGAGCAAUACAUAAGCAUGAACUGAUAUUACUUGGUGAUUCUCUACUAUGUAUUCCAUACUUUUUAUCAUAAGUUUCCUCAGAGAUGUCUGAAUCAACGUACUACAGCUAGGUGGACUGAUAGGGAAUGGGCUCACUUGAUGACUAUUUAGUUUAAAGAGCAUAGCAUUUUCUGACUUACUAUAGCUAGGUGGCAGACUGACAGGGACUAGGCUCACUUGAUACCUAUUUAGUUGAAAGAGCGUAACAUUUUCGGUUUCUGAAUGUCUCCUAAAAACCAUAGCAGUGACAGAAUAAGUAUAAAGAGCUAAUUGAAUCACUUAGAUCGCUGUAGUUGGAUUAGAAAACCAUGCUCUGAAUAAUCAUCACAGAUAUGAUGAUUUUAUUACCCAAGGGUGCAGUGUUCUACAUGGCAUCAAAUUCACUUGCUGUACUAUAGCUCUCACCACCUAUUGAAACUAUGCCCAAACUAAUAUGGCUUACGUCCUAUCAGUCGAAUUCGUGGCUUGCAUUAAUCAAUUAUCAGAUUUGCUUUUUUACCUUCAAUACAUUGCUCUUAAAGUUCAUUUCUUAUUGUACCACCAGCUCUAAACAUAGACAAGAAUAAGAAACAAUACAUUUUCAAACUCAAACACUAAGUUUUGCAACCAAUUUUUUCCCCAUACAUUCAGACUGAAAGGAGAUGUGAAGGCGACAUGACUUCUUUCUUGGGUACUUAUUAUAUGGAGCAUCUUAUCUGAAGUGAAAUAUGAUCCUCACACUAUGUUAAAUUCCAGGCAUGUUAGUGCUAGCUUUUGCUUAUUUGGUAAAUGAAACAGGAAUUCUUUCUUGGAUAGCUAGCUUAUUUAACAAAUAAGGGGGUAACAAAAUGGAACAUUGUAGAAUUAAUACCAAUUUACCCUUGAAUGAAUUAUUCACUUAUUAUAUAUCAUCAUGCAAAAUGCAUUUUAUGUUUGAUGCAUGUAGAGACUGCCACAAGUAUCACAUUUCAGAUAAGGUCACUUGCCAUCCUUUCUGUCCC